UACGUAGGGCCCGAGCAUUAUCCGGAAUUAUUGGGCGUAAAGAGCGUGUAGGUGUUCCAUCAAGUCGGUCGUUAAAUCUCACCGCUCAACGGUGAGGCCGCGAGCGAAACUGAUGGAAUUGAGGUUUACAGGGGCAAGCAGAAUUUCUGGAGUAGGGGUGAAAUCCGUUGAUACCAGAAGGAAUACCAAUGGCGAAGGCAGCUUGCUGGGUAAUACCUGACACUGAGACGCGAAAGCGUGGGGAGCAAACGGG
rnacentral:rRNA from 1 species